GACGAACGCUGGCGGCGUGCCUAAUACAUGCAAGUUGAGCGAUGAAGAUUGGUGCUUGCACCAAUUUGAAGAGCAGCGAACGGGUGAGUAACGCGUGGGGAAUCUGCCUUUGAGCGGGGGACAACAUUUGGAAACGAAUGCUAAUACCGCAUAACAACUUUAAACAUAAGUUUUAAGUUUGAAAGAUGCAAUUGCAUCACUCAAAGAUGAUCCCGCGUUGUAUUAGCUAGUUGGUGAGGUAAAGGCUCACCAAGGCGAUGAUACAUAGCCGACCUGAGAGGGUGAUCGGCACAUUGGGACUGAGACACGGCCCAAACUCCUACGGGAGGCAGCAGUAGGGAAUCUUCGGCAAUGGACGAAAGUCUGACCGAGCAACGCCGCGUGAGUGAAGAAGGUUUUCGGAUCGUAAAACUCUGUUGGUAGAGAAGAACGUUGGUGAGAGUGGAAAGCUCAUCAAGUGACGGUAACUACCCAGAAAGGGACGGCUAACUACGUG
rnacentral:rRNA from 1 species